AGGUGUUGAGCAUUUUGUGGCUCCAAAGGUUACAAAACUCAUCCUACUGCACAUCUACAGCCAGAAUAAAUUUUUGAGUUUGCCAAGUGGUAAGGCAAAACCAUGCGAAGGUUUGUACCGUGGGUUCGAUUCCCUCACUCAGAGCCAUAUAGUUAAAAAAAUUAAUAAACUGUUAAUUUAUUAAAAGCAAAAGUCAGUAGGGGCUUUGAACGAAAAUACGUUAAACCCGUAGCAGCAAUGCAAUACGGGAUGAUGGAGUUCGCAAGACAAAAUCAUUUGAUUGAAGAAUUAGGCAUUUAGAGAGUUCGUACACCUCUUUAAAGGUUGAAAGUAGGUCGAGUAGUUCAAAGGUACACGGAAAAAGCUAUCCGUAAAAAAGCACGUAUGACACGUACCUAGCGAAAGUUAGGUGGAAAUAAGUCUAACUCAUAAGGACUUUAAAGUGUGUUACAUUUAUCUGUAUUCUCAG
rnacentral:tRNA from 1 species